GGUUAAGCGACUAAGCGUACACGGUGGAUGCCCUGGCAGUCAGAGGCGAUGAAGGACGUGCUAAUCUGCGAUAAGCGUCGGUAAGGUGAUAUGAACCGUUAUAACCGGCGAUUUCCGAAUGGGGAAACCCAGUGUGUUUCGACACACUAUCAUUAACUGAAUCCAUAGGUUAAUGAGGCGAACCGGGGGAACUGAAACAUCUAAGUACCCCGAGGAAAAGAAAUCAACCGAGAUUCCCCCAGUAGCGGCGAGCGAACGGGGAGCAGCCCAGAGCCUGAAUCAGUGUGUGUGUUAGUGGAAGCGUCUGGAAAGGCGCGCGAUACAGGGUGACAGCCCCGUACACAAAAAUGCACAUGCUGUGAGCUCGAUGAGUAGGGCGGGACACGUGGUAUCCUGUCUGAAUAUGGGGGGACCAUCCUCCAAGGCUAAAUACUCCUGACUGACCGAUAGUGAACCAGUACCGUGAGGGAAAGGCGAAAAGAACCCCGGCGAGGGGAGUGAAAAAGAACCUGAAACCGUGUACGUACAAGCAGUGGGAGCCUCUUUUAUGGGGUGACUGCGUACCUUUUGUAUAAUGGGUCAGCGACUUAUAUUCUGUAGCAAGGUUAACCGAAUAGGGGAGCCGAAGGGAAACCGAGUCUUAACUGGGCGUUAAGUUGCAGGGUAUAGACCCGAAACCCGGUGAUCUAGCCAUGGGCAGGUUGAAGGUUGGGUAACACUAACUGGAGGACCGAACCGACUAAUGUUGAAAAAUUAGCGGAUGACUUGUGGCUGGGGGUGAAAGGCCAAUCAAACCGGGAGAUAGCUGGUUCUCCCCGAAAGCUAUUUAGGUAGCGCCUCGUGAA
rnacentral:rRNA from 1 species